UCGUAUCGUAGUGACCGUAAAUACUACAGUAUCAUAUAAAGCUUUUAUUUGUAUGAAUUCAGUGAAGAUGUCCAGAUGAAGCAGGAAGCAUAUUCUCGGCCUUAUUUCUCAAUUGACUUUGAUGUCCUUGGAUGUAAAUUUAGUACGCGAACAAGUUUCCACUGCACGAUUACGUGGGCUGUGGUAUGCAGGGCACGCGCUACCACGCUGUGUAGGACCGAACGCCGUUAUAGCGUACCAGUGCCAGGCUCAUCUUGCACAGUUGCGUGAUUACAUUGUACAGAAGAAUAAACUACGAGUGUACAAGCUGCAACUGUGUGCUCGUGGGUCCGGUGCCGACCCUCUUUGAAAUCGGACGUUUUUAGAACUCAACUAGGCCAAUGCUGUUAACCAGUGAAAAAUUCAAAGUUCUCACCGUACAAGUGAUAUGUCGCUUAGAACCGAGCUAAACAUUGUCGUUAUCGAACUCGAUUAUUCUUAUCAACUACGGCGUGGACGAAAUAGUCAAAGGGACAUGUACAGGAACCGAUAAAGCAACUAAAACUAGAAAUGUCUGCUGCCACAUUUCCGAGUGUGCCAUGACGUUAGGCAUAUACAGUGCCUGUAUAGAAGAGCUCUAAUGCGCUCGCAAGACGAGAAGGAACCGCCGCUUUGUGUACGUUGGAUUUCUAACGCAACGAACGCCACCUUUCUGGUGUAUGUUGAACAGAUGACAGGAAAAUAAAUGAAAGUGGGUUCCACGAAUUCCAGCCUUCUUCCGUUCGGAUUAAGGACCAGCGAUACCUAUAAUUGAAGAUUCAAGUCAUCAUUGUUCCACUGUCCUGCUGGGUCCGAACGAGUGACAUGGCGCCGCCCGUUGAAUCCAACACGUCCGUGCGUCUAAGGCCCACUUCAGAUUGCUGCGAAAGGGAAGUAAACAAUAUGUGUGCGUCCUCAAGAAGGGCGCUGGUGUUGUGAACUUGUCCUGGACUACAGUGAAUAUAAAUGCAGAUCCGAUAAUUCGGCUGUCGCUGAUCUUCAAGUAUGCACGCUACAUUAUGUUUUGCAAUUGGAUGGCCUAAAAAGCCAACGUGGGAUUGAAAAAGGAAGAUAACUCUAAGCCUGAUUUAAGAGCAACGGCGUACAGAUAGAUCUCUGUCGAAAGCAACAAGACUGAUGAACAUGAAACUUCGGUCUCCCUAUCGUGGGUCUGUCGUUGAAGACCAGUAAUCAAUUUCAUCCAUGCCAGUGACUUCAUCAGCACAGGAGUUAUCGACCACAUUAACGUAGCCUUUGACCUGUAUACUAAUGCGUUACUUUUUUCGGACCAUUGGCUCAGCGACACUUACAGGGU